AAAUUUUAAAAUUUUAUGUUAAAAACCGUCCGCCAUUGUUUGUGGCGUCCUGACGCUAGAUUUGACUUGAAAAUGCCGUUCCCUGAAGAAAAUAACAAUAGACUUGUUUCGUAUAGUUUGAUCUAUGGAGUGAUCAGUGAUAAUGUUGAGAAAUCAAGGUAUAUAAUAAUAAAGUUUAAAGGUUAUAAUAUGAGAGGCAGUUUUUGUAAAUGGAAAAAGAGAAAACAAGAACUUGAAAGUGUCGUCUAAACAAAAUUUAUAGGAAAUGAGGACCCAAAAAAUCAUGAUUUCUAGCUUAUUGACCAACAUUGCAAUUGAAAGUGUAUCUACAGUUGACGAUCUCAAUAGCAAUAAGGUUGGUGUUGAACAGGAAGAAUGUCUAGCAGCUAACACCUCACACUUAACAGGGAAAAGGCUGGAUUUGUCUGAUAGAACAAUGAAAACCAAACUUAAAAGGAGUUAGAAAAAUUGAAGAAGAAGAAAUUAAAAAAGAAAAAUAACAAGAAGUGGUCCUGAAUUGCCCAACUUGCACAAGCCACCGAGGCAGCAUCAGUGUCAUCAACCUCUGAUCCCACAGAGUUUGUCAAAACAGCGAAGGCUGCCUAGUAUUCAGCAAAUUUGAUUUAGGAGAACCAUCUAAUCCCUCACCCAUUCUGAACAAGAACACUUUAGAUUGAAAAGUAGCAAC